AGGGGAAGCCGUUCCUACCCCUGAGCUAAUUGACCAAUCACGUCUCAGUGCAACGGCGAGGUGCCGUGCAUGCAGCUGCCCCGGACACGGGAGGGAGGCUUAGCAAAAAGUGAUUUCAGGGCCAGAGCCACUUCCUGAUCAAAAUUCGGGAUUACUGCUGUAAUCACUGCUGGUGGAACGGGGCCACCGACCCUGCGCAUGACCGCCUUCCUUGGGGGAAGCCAGACAGAAAAGCCAAUUUUCUGCAGUCCUUCCUGUCUCUCCAGAUGAUGUUGAACCGUGGGGGAGAUUAAUCAGAACAACACAGAUGAGCCAAGCUCUUCGGCCUGAGUCUGCCGUGGUCCUUCGCUUCCACACUGCUGCAGCCAGCCCCUUCCCGGGGUUUUCAUAGAGGCCGCCCUUCCCCCAGUGUCUUUCUGUCAUCAGCCUUAAUUAG
rnacentral:lncRNA from 1 species